AAAUUAUUGUAUACAUAUGAAUAUAUAAGUAUGUACCUUCACAAUUAUUGCCAUGAUUCCCCAUCUUAUUUGUACAAGCAGUAAACUCAUUAUAAGAGCCAUGGUGUGCAACCUAUAACCCUUAAAGUGAUUAUAUUAUAAUAAUACACAUAAACGUCUAACGAUUUGGACCAAAAGGAUUAAAAAUGGAGACACCUCUAUGUCUGUAAAGCUUCUCCCGGGUGUCCUGUGGUCGUUUGGCUGAUGCAUUGCAGAAACAUAAAAAUGGACCUAUUAGUCGCUCUAUCCUGACAAUACACGAUCCAUGGACCAAAAAUACUAUGUAGCAAAUAUCUGAAAUCUGUGAACAAAAAAAUACUAUGUAGCAAAGAUCUGAAGUUUUUUGCAGCUUAUAACUUGUAAAUUGUUCUGAUCGUAAAUGUUCUACUCAAAUUGACCGUGCAACAAAAUAUCUCGGUCCUCAACGACACAAUGAGAUACUAAAUCCAGAGCUAAAAAUCAGAAUAGAGUUUGCUCAGCAACCUGCAUUUUGACAACUUUUAGUUUGGUCAUCAGCAACAAGUAACAUGCACCAGUACAUGGGAGACAACAAACAACAUGUAGCAGUUUGCUUACAUGGAGCAUGCAAACUUCAAAUUGAACUGAAUAAAUUGGUGUGAGGUCUUAAUCAGGCACCACAACAAGCAACUCAUCGUCGAGCACAGCGCACACAUGCUACUACACAAAUUAAGCUUAACAUGGAAACAGCGCCAUAGCGCAUUUGAAGCACAUUUGAGAACCUUCCUCUUCUUUAUCUCCUCUCCCCAAA
rnacentral:lncRNA from 7 species